AACGCACAUUGCGCCCACCAGCACUCUGGUGGGCAUGCCCGUCUGAGCGUCAUUUCAACCCUCAGGGCCCGUCCGCGGGACCUGGCGUUGGGGAUCAGCCUUCUGGCUGGCCCUGAGAUCUAGUGGCGGUCCUUCCACGACCUCCCCUGUGCAGUAGUGAUACCUCGCAGCGGGAUAGUGGUCUGGCCAUGCCGUAAAACCCCCUACUUCUCAAGGUUGACCUCAGAUCGGGUAGGAAUACCCGCUGAACUUAA
rnacentral:misc_RNA from 1 species